rnacentral:ribozyme from 1 species
UUUUUUUUUUUUUUUUUUUUUUUUUUUUUCCUUC